UACGUAGGCAGCAAGCGUUGUUCGGAAUUACUGGGCGUAAAGAGUGUGUAGGCGGUGCUCUAAGGUCGGUGUGAAAUCUCCCGGCUCAACUGGGGAGGGUCACGCGAUACUGCUCGACUUGAAGGCAGGAGAGGGAAGUGGAAUUCCCGGUGUAGUGGUGAAAUGCGUAGAUAUCGGGAGGAACACCAGUGGCGAAGGCGACUUCCUGGCCUGUUCUUGACGCUGAGGCGCGAAAGCUAGGGUAGCAAACGGG
rnacentral:rRNA from 1 species